rnacentral:rRNA from 1 species
UACGUAGGGUGCGAGCGUUGUCCGGAAUUAUUGGGCGUAAAGAGCUCGUAGGCGGCCUGUCGCGUCGGUUGUGAAAGCCCGGGGCUUAACCCCGGGUCUGCAGUCGAUACGGGCAGGCUAGAGUUCGGUAGGGGAGAUCGGAAUUCCAGGUGUAGCGGUGAAAUGCGUAGAUAUCUGGAGGAACACCCGUGGCGAAGGCGGCUCUCUGGGACGGUACUGACGCUGAGACGCGAAAGCGUGGGGAGCGAACAGG